rnacentral:lncRNA from 1 species
AGGGAGUGUGGCAGGGACAGCGUGCUGCAGUCCUUGACUGCUGUAUCUGGCGCUGGCAUUGGAAAUUUGGGCGGUCCUGGUAAAGUUGAGUGUCAACAUUUGCUGCGACAUGAGGAUGGUGCUGAGAUCGUGAGGGGAAGGACCGAGUGGAGGCCCAAACAUGCCAACAAUUUUGGCAUGAUGGGUGGUCAGAUGCCAGCUGAUGAGAGUGGUGCUUAAACAUUGAGAAAGCGUCGUGGCUGGAAUGGCGUUAGUCUCCUUGCCACGUGUCACUUUACUUGUGUAGAAUCAUACCUGUUUGAGUCUCAGAUACACCUUAUUUUUAAGGUGUAUGUAUUUAUAUAUAUAUAUAUAUAUAUAAUAUAUAUAUUUUUUUCAAUUUCUUGGAUAAAUGAAAGCUGUAAGCUCAUUGGAUAAAUGAACUGCUGACAUGUUCUCUCAUUUAGAAACUUGAGUUCGUCUUCUUCUUUUUUUUUUUUUUUGGGUUAAGAAAUAAUAUUUUUUAAGUGACUGUAGAUGAAUUGAAUGCUAUAUUUAAGAGUAGAUAGUUCUUUUUAGCUGCCAACAACCUGUCUAACUUGACAGCCCUUAAAUGCAGUCAACAUGUCAACCUUCUCCUUGUGGCCCGAAUGCUCUGUGGGGCGGCACGUGUACGACGGCCUUUAUGUUUUUAGUUGUCUCCAAGUUUGGUUGGCAGUAGGAAUUGACAGAAAAGGUUAAAUAAUUUAUUGGAGUGGGGGAGGCAGCCUUCAAUGGAUUUUGCCUGCUAACUAAUUAAUUAAUUUUUGAUGUGCUCAGUUCCUCCAUUAUGUGCGCCUCCCUUGUGACUUUGACAAUGCAAGAAAAUGUGAAUGCACUGUUAUUUUCAUGAUGUUGCCGUGGAACAAUAUGAUGCAACUCAACGUUAUUGUUGUGAGAAAUUACACUCAAGCUUAAUAUAAUAUCUCGACCUUCAUUUAAAAAAAUAAAAAAGAGUAAAAAUUUGCAGGAGAUAUUUGAAAGCAUGCAAUUAUGGCAGCACGGAAGUGAAGCUCCUGCUGGGCUUAAGCUUCGAGAUACAUUGUUUGUUUUGUUGAGUUUUUUUAAAAUUUUAUAUACGAAAUAAAAUAAUAAAAUAAAAUUAUUUAGAAGUUUCUUAAAUUUUAUUAGAAAGAUUCAAAAUUGUUUAGAGGAUUUAUUACUUGAAGAUCUAUUUUUCUUUAACUUUGAAUAAUUUUUUAAAAGCUAAGUUGUCGUAAAUAACAAGCCGUUCAAUUGUCCGGCCUUCAACGGUAAUCUAUAUGAACCACCAUUGAGAAAUCUUUUAAAACUCUAUUUAAGAGAGAUGAAUUGCUAUGCUUAGAGUGCUAGCUUUCUAUUCUGUGACUCACGUAGUUUUUGUCUAAUAGACAACCACUCUAAAAAAAUAGAAGGAAUAACUUACUAUUUAUAGAUAAAUUUAAAAAAUCCUAUAAAUUAACAAAAUAUCAAUUUGCCCCUUAAAUAAUAUCUAGGAUAAUUUUAGAAAUUUAAUCAAUUAAGUCCCUACUUGAUUAUUCUAGGAACUAUAACUAUAAUCCCUAAAUUAAAUAUAUUGUAGUGCUUAACUUCUAAAAUUAUUUUCAAUCAAGUCACUUGAUUAAUUAUCCCAGUUUAAUUUUUAACUAGUAAUUCUUAAUAUGUGUGUGUGAUUCAAUAAGUUCCUAAUAUGUCUUGGCAUCCCUUCUAUGAUCAGGCAUGCAUAUGGCCUGCAACUAGCAUUGACAACAUUUUUUUUCCCUAUCUUUUCUCUCUUUUUCUUAAUUUUAAUGCAUAUCUUUUAGAAAUUUCAAACCAUCCUUUCAAUUUGUUAUUCCUUCAGAUUUUAUUUAUGUUCUUUUUAUUAUUAUUUAUUUUAUUUGGAAUAAUUAAUGAAAUUGAAAUUCUUUUUCAACUUUACCCCCUUUAAUUUUUUUUUAUUUCAAAUUUGAUCUCAUUCUUUUUAUUAUUAUUUGUUUUAUUUGAGAUGAUUCUUUAAAUUGAUUUUUUAUAUAUAUUUUCAUCCCCUUUAAGUUUUUUUUCUCUAUCAAAUUUAAUCUACAUUCUUUUAAUUGCUAAUUUGUUUUUUACUUUUUUAAAUUGAUUUUUUUCUGAUUUCAUCCAUCAAUAUUAAAUUAAUUAAGAAUUGAUAUUCUUGAUUGAUAUGCAAUUUAAGAUUUCACGAGUUGUGAGUUUUAGAGAUUAACCUGGGUUUAGGAGGUUCACCUGGUUUGGUUUAUUUUUUUUUUCAUACUUUAGCAUUUAUUUAAUCAAAUAUUGAGCUCCGUUCUUUUUAUUUAUUUUCUUUCUAUAUAAUUCUUCACUAAUUUUGAAAAUAACCCGGGUUAUCUCGGUUAUUUUUAUUUGUUGUUAUUUGUUGAUUUACUUUGGUAAAGUUUUUAAAUUUGUAGUUUUUUUUCUUUCAAUUUCAUCAUUCAAUAUUAGAUUGAUUGUAAAAUAUUAUUUUUUUCCAGCUCCAUCCUUUAAGGUUGGAGUUUUUUUAUAUUGGGCUUUGUGAUUUUGUUCAAUUUCCUUUCUAUUCGUUUAUAUUAGUCUCAUCACUUAGAUUGUGGGUUUGACGGAUUAGUCUGAGUUGGCUCGAGGCUUUUUUAGAAUUGUUUUUUCUAAUAUAGUAUUUGUUACGUUUCGUCAUUCAAUAUUGAGUUAUUUUGGAAUUAAGUUUUGUAACCUUUUUUGGUUUGCCUUCCUAAUCAUCUGGCCUUGGAGGUAUUCUAAAAAACAAUAUGGAUCGACACGCGCAGGCUCUUUUUAAAUGGGACAUGCAUGCUGGCCUAACUAGCUAGGCCUAGUAGUGCCUAGCUAACAAGGUCUAGCAACACCUAACCUUAUUUUUUUAAAAAAAAAAUUUAUAUAUAAAAAUGAAUCUUAUUUUCAAAAAUAAAAAUAUAUUUUUAUGAAUAAUAUUUCUAAUAAGUGCAACCAUGCAUAAUAUUUUUUUUCCUUUGAUUUUAUUCAAUCGAUUGCACAUGUAUGUCUGUUUCUACUAUCAUUUGAUUAAAUAAAAAAAUAAUUUUAAUAAAAAAAAAUCAUUGAACACAAUCACAUAAAUAUCCCGUGUUGCGAGAUCAAAUAUCUUAAUUUAAAUCUGUCUCUUAAUUUUCAGUUAUGUAUGCAGUUAUUAUUAAUAACUUUUUUUUAUUUAUUAACAUAAAUAAUUCUUAAUUUAUUUAACUAAAUAGUAUAAACUUUUUAAUUUGCAUAUAAUUUUUUUUUAGCCUGCUAUGUGUUCUAGAAACGUGUUUAGAUUUAAAGCGUCUAGUAUUUGAGUCAAAGGUCAUGGAGUGAACUUUGGUUCAUGAGCAUAGUCGGAGGGGGUCAGGACUCUGUCCAAGUCCUCUAGGAUGGUCACGAACAGAGGAGUGGACUCUGUUUCUUGUCCGGGAGCUAGGAGGCCUCUUUUCUGUUUGGGUAUCAAUUGUAUAAGGGCCAAUGUGAGGCACCAUUGUUCUCCACGUAAAUUUUGGGUAUAUCUGAUGGAGUUAUAUCAAUCAACCAGCAAUUGAAUGUACGGCUACAAACUUACCAAUUGUACAUUGUAUAUAUGCCAAUGAUUUUAUGAAACUGUUUGAUUUUAUUUUUUAAAAUAUUUUUUAUUUAAAAAUAUAUUUAAAUAAUAUUUUUUUAAUUUUUAAAAUUUAUUUUUUGUAUUAGUACAUCAAAACAAUAUGAAAAUAAAAAAAUUUAUUUUUUUAAAAUGCUUUUAAAAUACAAAAAUAAAUAUAUUUAUUGUUAAAGAAAAUCCAUGUAAGUAUUUGUGUCAUGUGCAGGAACCAUAACGGUUCCGUUGAGUGUGUUUGUAUUUGAGGCAACGUUUGUGUUUUCUUUAAAUGCAAUGUAUUUGGUGUUUGGUUACGAGUAUCAAAGAUAUAUACAAAUAAUAGGCCCCACCACUUGCCUGAGAUGGCACCUCAGUUAUGAAAAAGCUAUUUUUUCUUGCUUUUGCAUGUUGGACCACAUGUUGAACUUUCUGGAUCUGCAAAAAAAAUUGAAAAAUUAUCAAAGCAUCCUCUUCUCUUCCUCCUCUCAUUCAUUUCAAUUCACAUUCAUUUAUUAUUCAAUUUACCCUAACCGCAACAAUUCAAACAGUACAAUCACCAUUACUAUUGCACAACCCACAGGAAUGACCAUUGCAACGUNNNNNNNNNNNNNNNNNNNNNNNNNNNNNNNNNNNNNNNNNNNNNNNNNNNNNNNNNNNNNNNNNNNNNNNNNNNNNNNNNNNNNNNNNNNNNNNNNNNNAAAUCCUGCUUCAUUUAGACACCAAAGCUGCAAUUUCUAAUUGGUUAGUUUGAUUAAUUGACUGGUCCGAUCGUAUGCAAACCUAGAUAUGUUUAUUCAUUUUUAUAAAUUACUGGUUUUUUUUCCCUUAUAUGAGAUUAUUACUUAUUGUUUUCAAAUCUCUAUCUUAUGCCUGCAUGUAACUUGAGUUAUUGAUGUUUUGACUAAUGAGAUGUUAAAACUAAUUAGGGCCAAAGGAAUAGUACUCGUUAUACUGUAAACGAAUAAGAGUUUUCAAGCCACCAGAAACUAUACCUUGUAGUCUUUUACUGAUGAAUGCUAACAAAUCCAAUUUUUUUUUUAAAAAAAAAUAAGUUAGAAGACAUGUCUAAUAUUGCCCAGUUUUCGGCCAUUGUGGUGGCCAAAAAAACAGGGUAAAAGUUUUUUCGAUCCAAAAACUAAAUCUUCAACCUAUUGUUUUUUUAUGUAAAACACAUAGAAAACAUUCAAGGCAACUUGAUAAACCCAUUUAUGGCCUAACAAACCCAAAAAAUCACCCAAAAAAUCGAAAAAAAAAAAAUCUUACCAAGCUUAUAUAUGUGUUUUUUAGGCAAUUUCAAGGUAAAAAAAAAAAAAACAUCUAAUAUGAACUUUCCUCGUCAAAUGGAACAAUUUGACACUAAUUUCAACCAUUGUUGUUGCCGGAAUCAAUGCCGACAAAUAUUUUCUCUUUAGUGCUGAAUUCCGGUGACUUCCUCUUACCUCUCUCAACUAGGGCCCAAAAAAUAAGGAAAAUAUUUUUUUAUGGACCAAAAUUGAUUUUGCCUUUAAAUGUUAGAAACUGAAAGGAUCCAAUAUUUAUAAUUUGUAAAGUAUAGGGACUACAAUAAACACUUCGCCCAAACUUUUUAAAGCUACUCAUUCCAUUUGUGUUUUUUGUACUUUGGUCCCAUGUCUUUCAAUCUCACACUUCCCCAACAAAUUAACUUAUAAUUAAACCCAAUAAUGGCCAAAUUUAAAAAAAAACAAAAAGCAAAAAAAUGACAUUGUGAAUAGCCCGUUGAUAGCACCAUGUGAGGAGAUCCACAAUGCAUUUUACAUAAUGAAUUCCCCAUAAGUCUUAGAUUUAUAAUUAAUAUGGUGGCAUGAAGCUCUAAUAUAAGUCUUAGAUCUAUAUAGAAAAAUCUUGUAGAAUGAAGCUCUAAUUGCUAAAUUGAGUUUAAAACCACGCAAGUAUUUUAUAUAAACUCUUGAUAACUAGUGGAUCUAUUUAAUAAAUGGAUAGGUGUAGAUUAUAAAAAUUAAAAAUUUGCAUUAUUUGGAAUUAAAUUUUUAAAAAAGAAGAAGCUAAAUGCCAUAAGAUUGUGGCCUAAGGCUCAUUAUAUUGUGGGUUGAAAAGGUGCAAUUACAUUUUUGCUCUCCAAAUUAAAAACCAAAUGAAUUGCCUUUGAUGGAAAAAUGAUAUUUUUUACAGGAUCUAUUUGUUAUUAUAAAAUUGAUCGAGAUUAUAAUGGUAUCUCCACUUUUUUUUAGCACAAUAAAAUAACAUAAUUGCCCUCACAAGAAAAAAAAUAAACAAUUUGCAAGGGGCUUUUAAGCCAUUUCCUUUAUAUAUAAAAAAAAUGACCUGAGUGACUUUCCAUAUGUAUUUUAUUUUUUGAUAUAAUCAAGUUGGUUAGGGGCAAUUUAGUACUUUAAUAAAUAUAGUGUAUUAUUUAAAAAAAUAGUGCACGUUGCACACGUGUCAGUAUAUGAGCAACAUGUGACCUGUUGUCCGAUCACCGAACUCUGCCUUCCAUGAUAAUGUUCAAUUCGCCAUGGUGUUCCCCCAUACCUGGGCGACAUGUGUUGCCGGAGCGGCUUUGGUUACUCUUUAUUUUCCUUCUUCUCUCUCUCCUACUCGAUUUUCAUGUCUGACCUUUCAGAUUUUUAAAUUAGCCCUUUGAUUUAUUUUUUUCUUUGCAUUUGACCUCUGUUCUUUUAAUUAUUAUUUAUUUUAUUUGAAAUGAUUUAUGAAUUGGAAAUCUUUUUCAAUUUUAUCUCCAAUUUUCUCAAUGGUCAAAUUUUGUUUCAAUUUAUUUUAUUACAAUUUUUUUUCAUUUAGGAUUAUUUUUAAAAUUGAUUUUUUUUUUGUGAUUUCAUCCUCCUUUAUUUGUUUUCAUUCUAGAUUUGAUCCUUAUUCUUUUAAUAGUUUUUUUUAUUGGAAUUUUUUUAUAUUGAUAUUUGUUUCCCGAUUUCAUACGUCAACAUUAAAUUUAUUGAGAAUCUAGCUUCUUAAUUGAUUUUGGGUCUAGAUUUCAGGUUGCGAGUUUGAAAGAAUAAUCUAGAUUUAGGAGAUUCACUCAGAUUUGCUUGUUUUGAUCCCUAUUUUUUUAAGUUCAUAUUUUUUGGUAUCAUCCUUUAACAUUUAUUCGAUUGGAGAUUGAGUUUUAUUAUUAUUUUUAUUUGUAUUUUAUAGGAUUAUUCACUAAUUAUGAGAAUGACUAGGUUAUCUCAUGUCUUUUUAUUUGUCUUUUUUUAAAUUUAUUUUUUAAAAUAAAUUUUAUUUUUGAAUUAAAAUAAAGUAAUUGAUUAAAUAUCUUAUGGGAUGCUCGUUUCACAAUAGUUUGUUUAUGAGAUGCUUUGUAAUAAUGUUAGAACCAUCUCAUUGAAUUUUUUCUGGUGGUGAGACGGUGUUGACGACAAAACAUGAUGAGUAUUCAAUGAGCUCUUUUUUUAUCUCCUCUUGAAUAUAAUAUUGACAUCUUAUUUUUAAUAGUUAAUCACCCCCUUGCUUUAUUUACUAUCAAUAUUUUUGUUAAAUUUAUUGUGAUUAUUAAACUCAAUUAAGUUAAUAAUUUUAACCUCAAAUCUUUCUUACUUCUUUAAAAAUAGCAUUACAUAAUAUUUUUUUAUAUUAAAAAAAUAACCUAGCCAACAAUGGAACUCAUUCUAUCUAUCUAAUCUCUACUAUAAAAGUUAAUGGUUGACUAACAACCCGAAGACUCGAGAUCUUAGAUAAGUUAGGUCACAUAUGUGCUCGACAACUGUGUUGAAAACGAUGCUCAACUUCUGUUAAAUAAUAAUAAUAAAAUUAAAUCGGGUUUGGAAAAGAUACAAAUCCCGCGAGAUGGAAUUGAAGGUGGGCUUGGUUUGGAAGAAUCUCCGAUUCCCCUCACCAAAACAUCGCAGAUGCUAUGAAAAUUUGAUCUUUGUUUGAUAAAGAAGUCAUUUGAUUAAAACAAGUGGAAUCACAUUCCCUUGGCUAAGGAAAGUAAAAUACUUAUUUUCUUGAAUAAAAUAGCCUUAUUAUUAGAGUCUGUUUAUUUUGUGUAAAAUAUUUUAUAGAAAAAUAAUUUUUAAAUUUUUUCAUGUUUGUUUUUUUUUAAUAUUUUCUAAAAAAUAUUUUUUUAUAUUUGUUUGCUGUAAUUAUUUUACAGUAAAAUUAAUUAAUAUAAAAUAUUUUAUAAUCAAUUUUCAAACUUGAUUUAUUUGAUGAAAAAUAUUUUCAACUCAUAAAAUUCUAUAAAAUAUUUUAUGAAUAAUAAUCCACUUGUUUAUAAUAUCAUCCAACUAUUUUGAUCACCAUUUUCAUCUCACCACCAUGACCAUCUUUUUCACUAUCAUCGCCACCUCACCACCACCACUUUCUUUACUAUCACCUUCAUGUCACCACCAUCACUUCCUUCACCACCGCCAUCUCCUCCACCAUGUCACCACCACUACAACCAUGUCACCAUCAUCCUCUUCAUCAUCACAACCACCUCCUUUACCACCAUCAUCUCUUCUUUUAUGACCAUCAUUAUCUCCACUAUAUUAUUAUCACCAUCAUCUUAUUACCAUCUCUUCCUCCACAAUAAUUAUUGAAAAAUAUUUAUAUAUAAAAUUAUUUUAUAAGUCAAACAUUAAAAAGUAUUUUUAUUGGUUUUACGUGGAACAAACGGUAAUAUUAAAUGGAUUAACAAUCUUUGUUUUUUAAUAAUAACAAAACUUUAUAGUCUUAGUACCGACUAGCAAAUAUGCUCAAUGCCUUUAUUUGUUUAGUAUUUUAGAUAAUUUAUAAUAAAAAUGAGUCGAAUAAAAUGUAUUUUUGGAUAGUAGUGAUUUUAAUAUUAAAAAAGCACUGGAAAGCACAUUAUAUUGAUAAAUAUGAAAUAGUGAAGGCAAAUGCAUUUGUAUUUAAUAACUUAUCCAAGUAUUGCAUCAACUAUUAAUAAAAUAUUGAUAAAACAUUAAAAUGAUUUCCCUUUUGCCACUCAUAUAUGCCAAAAAUUCCAUUAAGUCUAAAAAAAAGAACUAAACGAGCUUCGUUUUAGGUUUUUUUUUUAAAAAAACUAUCUUAAGAUUUUAAAAUAAAAUCAUAACGUAAUUUUAAUGGUGCGUGUAAUUUGUAAACUAAAAAAUAUAUCAGAACUAAUUUCAAAAAUUUAUAUAUAUAUAUAUAUAAUUAAUUAACUAAUUAAUUUUUAAUAUUUUUUUUAAAAUUAUUAAUAAUUAGGAAUAAAUUAAAUUGAAAACAAACCUAAAAAUGAAAAAUAUCAAUCCAAAGAAAAUAUCUAAAAGGCACAUUAUAUUGAUAAGUAUUAAAUACUUAUAGAGAAAACAAAACUUAUACCCAGUAAAUUACUCAAGUAAUAUUUUUUAAUUUAAAUAUAAUAUUAUUUUAAUAAGAGCAUGAUAUAAAAACUUAAUUUAUCAAUAAAACCUAUUCAAACCUAUUUCUUAAUUUAUCACUGCUGAAUGGAUUUAGAGUUUUAUUUUAUGAUCAAAGUAUAGGUUUAAUAGUGAACUCUAAAUAUUAUUUGAAAGGGUUUACAUAAUUAAAAGGAAAAAUUUUAAAUAAUAAAAAGAUUGAUGAAAAAUGUAAUAUAAAACUUUAAAUCAAGCGAUGGAGAGAACGAUUAAGGAUCAAUAUUUUUAUAUAUUGUAAUAAAUUUGAAAAAUUGUAUAUGAUUAUUUACAUAUCAUUAAUGAAAUAUGGAAUUGUAAAAUCCCCAAUAAUGUACCAAUGUUUUUUGGACAUAAACUUAAUUUCAAGGAUAAUAAAUGACAUUUUUUUUUUAUCAUCUCAUAAUGUAUAUUAAAUUUUUAUUGAAAUUUCAACAGAUUUUGUUUUGUAUUUUAAACAUUCCAAGUAUCAAAUCCAAUUUAAUCACACAUAAAUGGUCAAAAUUAUAUAUACAUAUAUGCAAUGAUCUAAACAUUUUAGACUUUUCUAUAUCAUCCAUACAUACAUCUAGAAAUUUAUUCGUCCAACUUUCUAUAUUUUUAAUUCAUUUCAUUCUCCAGUAUCAAUUCAAAUAUGUUCUUAUUUAUUUUACUAUACAAUUAUAACAUACAAGAUCAAUAUUAUAUAAUUAUAUUAUUUCAUAGACAAGUCUCUUUUAAUAUAAGGUUUCAAAAUGUAUGUAUUUAUGCUAAUAAUACCUCAUCAUCCUAAUUAAUUACUACAUACCCUAGACAUCAAAUAAAAAAAUAAUUAAACUAAGUUAAUUUUAUAAGUCUUCUCAUUAUAUCAUUACUAAACAAAACUAUCUACAACAAAAAACAUGCAUAAAAGAUUUAAGUGCACCAAGACAUUAAUCCUGACGGUCUAAGAUGAACAUGAAAUUGUACAAAGUAUAUAAUUUUCAGCACAUAGUUUAUUUAUUUAUUUAUUUAUUUAUUUAUUAUUAUUAUUAUUAUUAUUAUUAAUUUCUUUUUAAAAGGAACAAUCAUUCCUAAAUAAAAUUAUCAGGUAUCCAUUCAAUGAUCAAUUUAAAUCCAAUAUCUCAUUGCCAAAACAUUAAUAAUUCUUUCCAAAAACUCAAUUUCUUAGUAUAACGAUCCUAACCAUGUAUUUAUCAAUCAUAAUGUUUUGACUAAAAUUCUACAAGUUAGGUGUUUCCCUCACAACCAAUAAAUUCUAGUAUCCUUGCAUGGAUAGCAUUUUUAUUUUGAAAACCAAUCAAUUCUAUUUCUAUUUUUGAAUAUCUCAUAAAUUCUAGUAUACUCGCAUAAAUAUUUUUAAAUCUGACAUUCUCCUUUUUAAAAGCCAAAUAAAUUCGAUAUUCCUUUUUAAAUACCAUAGAAAUAUUAGUAUCCUCUUAUAGAUACUUUUAAAUCUAGCAUUUUUUUUUUCAAAAGCCAAAUCAAUCUAGUAUUCCCUUCCAAAUACCAUAUAACUAUUAAUAUCCUCUCAUAGAUACUUGUUAAAUCUGACAUUUCUAAUCUUGAAAGCCAAUUCAAUCCAGUAUUCCCUACCAAAUACCAUAGAAAUAUCAGUAUCCUUCUAUGGAUACUUAUUAAAUCCGACAUUCCCAAUUUUGAAAGCCAAUUCAAUUCGAUAUUCUUUUCUGAAUAAUACAGAAAUUCUAAUAUUUUCAUAUGGGUAUUCAUUAAAUUCAGCAUUCCCACUUUUUUUAAAAGCCUGAACAUUCCAGUAUUCUUUUUCGAAUACCAAUUAUCAUUUUUGUUCUUUCACUCUUAGAUUUUGUCCAUUUUGGAAAGAUUUUGUGCAAUGGAUUCUUUUAUAAAGGGGAUGAUGAUUUUUUUUAAAAAAAAAACCACUAUAAAUACCCAUAAUUUUUAUGCAUUUUAAUAACAAAAGUGUUCAACAAAGAGUGAAAAAAAGUUAUGAAAACACAUGUAUAUCAUACACAUCCCUCUUGAGAGAUUUAUUGAUUAUAUUCUUGCAUUUUAUGCUAUUGUUCUUUAAACUUUGUCUAAUUCUCUCUCGGAGUGAGCAUAAUCAAUUGGGUUACAAAAUUAAACAAUGUGGAUGUAUGAGUGGCAUCGUAUCAAUACUAAAUAAUAGAUGAUGUCAGUAGCAUUGGAUCAUCACUCAAUUUAGCUCUUGAUCCUACAUUAUAAGCUAUUGUAAAAGGCUUAAUCCUUAGCUAUAUAAGUACAAACAUAUAGUAGAUUGGGAAGGCUUAAAGUGUGCUCGGGGAUUGGAUGCAGGUAAUGCCAAACUACGAUAAUCUUUAUGUUUGAUCUCUCAAUACCUAAAUGCUUUAUUUUAUUAAGUGUGCUUAUAUGCAACAAAAAAUUUUCUUUUUUCAUUAUUUAACAUAUAAUACUAAAUAAGAUUGUUUAUAGUCCAAUACAAAUCAACAAUAAUGAUUGAUAAGUGAUUUUUGCUAAGGACAUAAUCACACACAAUAAUCACACAUAAAUAAAUAAAAAACUUGGUAGUAAGAGUGUAGAAGGUUCCUACCCCAACACCAUCUUUAUCCACUCAAAAGGUUGCACUAGACCUUGAGCUACAAAGGAGACAAAUUUUUGAAAAAUUAUCUAUAAAGGUAGAGAAGACUACUGCAAAGAUAGUUAACAUUUUUAUGAAAAACAACCAUCUAGAUGUUGAAUAAAUAAAAAAUAGUUCUAAUGCCAAUGUAAGAUUAGGGAUGGACCAACAAAAGCGACAUGAAAAAGUUAUCCAUCAUGCAAGGCCUACAAAUAUGGAGCUCAAGCAAAGGAAAUGAGUUGUAGAAACCUAACCUAAAUCUUUAUCAGUCUUGAAAUAGGAAAAAAAAAGAUGGCAUCAUUUGGAUAAUAGAAGUAAAAAGAGAAUGCAACUCCAAUAAUAACCCUGAUAAGAGAAGAACUAUUAUGUAUUGUAGAGAAAAUAAUAGUGGCAAAGCUUAAGAACAAUAAUAGUGUCCAAACUUUAAACCAAUAUGCAAAAUAGUUUUAAUAGAUGCUUUUGUCCAAUUUGAGGAAUAAAUAAAGGAAAAGAAUGACAUGAUUAUCGAUGUUAAUGAUUAAAAAGAUGAUGAUUUAUUAGAAUGAGUCAUUGAUGUCGUUCUAGAUGAUAGUACAUAAAAGGAAAAAAGAAAAAGGUACUUGAAUUUUCAAUCUGAAUCUAACAAUUUGAUGAAUAAAACACAAUCAAGGAAAAUGAUAGAUUAAAAUUUCUUUCUAACAUAAAAAUAAGUGACUAUGAUGAAAUCAUAUCUAUAAUUAUGAUAUUUGCUCUUCCUUACUCUUUUGAAUAUAAACUUGGCCAACUACCUUAUCUGGACCGCGACUGUGAAGAUAGUGCAAAGGAAAAGUCAAAGAUAAUUGAAAUCAACCAAAAGUCAGGUCUUAUAUUUUCUAAGCCAACAUUGGCUAUGAGUUGCUAUUUGAGAUCUUUAUACAUCAUAAAAAAUUUCAAUAAUGACUAAUACAAAUGAUCCUGGUUGAUAAUGAUACAACACUUAAUAUUAUUUCGCAAACCUUAUUAAGUAAGAUUGGUUGAAACAAAGUUGACACAAUCCUAUUUGAAGUGGCAAUGUCAUAUUUUGAAGAUGGCAUAAGAGACAUUGUAGAAGUGUGGUAGGUGAGUUUAAUAAUUGAGUUCAAGAUCUCUAAUGUAGCUUCUUUUUCUUUUUUUCUUUUUUAUAGUUCAAGCAAAGAUAAGUCACAACGCCUUAUUUGGGUAAGAUUGAAUACACGCUUAUAUAUGUGUGUCAUCAUCCCUAUAUCAAAAUAUAUUUUUUUGGUUACUAGAUGGUUCAAUGAAGAUAGUUAAAGUAGAUGAUAAGCCACUUAUGAUCAAUUUAGGGAUUGCAGAUACAUGGUUAUAUAACAAUGAUGGAAGCGUAGUUCAAUUUAUGAGCAUGGACAAUAUGAGACACCUAAUCUAGUUUUUAAUAAGUAAAAAGAUAGUACAUAUAAGGUGACUAAUAAUAGACAUUGCUAGGCAAAAUAACUUGCAAUUGAAAGAUAAUAAUAAAAAAAAGAUUUGAAACAAUGGAAUAAAUGAGUAACCAUAACUUGGUAGCAUGUUUUGAGGAUUUUGAUGAAGCUUAUAAAAGUAUUGGAAAUAAGAAUAGAAUUUGUUCAAUGGAACUAGAUCAAGAAAAUCAAUUUAUCAUGCUAGAUAUGACAAGUCUUCCUCCAUCACCAUUAAAUAUGGAUGAUGGACAAGCUCAAGUUUAAGAUCCUUCAAUUGAAGUUAAUUUGAGGACUGAAGACAAGUCAACACUCAUGGUUAUAAGUGCAAAUUUAUCAAAAGAUUUUCAGAAAUGUAUGGUAUCACUGGGAUACACAUUAUAAAGACUAUUUUCUUGGGAUUUUGAUGAAAUACCUAGUUUAAAUAGAAGUUUGAUCAAUCAUCCAUUCAUAAUCAAGCUUGUUUUCAAUCCAUACAAAUAACCUCCACAAAGAAUAAUUCUAAACAUGAUAGAUCAUAUAAAAGAUAAAAUCAAAUGACUACUAGAAAUUGAAUUUAUUAGGCUAAUAAUAUAUGUUGAAUGGAUAUCUAACAUAAUGUCAAGAUUGAAAAAGAAUGGCAAAUUAUGAGUUCAGAUAGAUUUUGUUAAUCUUAAUAUAUGGAUCCUAAAAAUGAAUAUCCAAUUUCAAUGGUUGAUAUGUAGAUCGAUCCAACAUUUGACAAUGAAAUGAUCAGCUUUAUAGAUUGUCAUUCUGGCUAUAACUAGAUCUUUAUUAUAAAAGAAGAUAUAUUUAAAAUUGCUUUCAAUGUCGUAGUUCAAUAGGAAUAUUUGAAUGAGUGGUAAUAAUAUUUGGUUUAAAGAAUGUUAGUGCUACUUGCCAAAAGACAAUAAUCAAUCACAACAUGAAGGUUUAUAUUGGUGAUAUCAAUGUAAAAUAAAAGUUUAAAUCCACUCACCUAAAUGAGCUAUGACAACCUUUGAACAAAUAAGGAUGUAAAAUCCAUAAAUGAACCCAUUAAUAUGUGCAUUUGAAGUGUAAGCUGGUAAUAUUUUAGGCUUCUGAGUGCAUUAACAUGGCAUAAAGAUGGAUAAAAAACAUUAGAAAUCAUGGAAGAAAGAACUUCUCUGAAUAAGAAAGAAUUUUAGAGGCUUAUUGGUAAGGUCAAUUUACUAAGAAAAUUCAUUUCAAACACUACAAGGAAGAUCAACCCUUUUACUGAGUUGUUGGAAGGAAAAAGAUUUAAUGAGUUUUAAUGGAAUUAAAACCAAUAAACUGCUUUUAAAAAUAUAAAAGCUUAUCUCACCAAAUCAUCUUUAUUAUUGACCUUACCAAAACUUGGAAACCCUUGAAGCUAUACAUUUCAGUAGCAGUAGUGUCAAUUGACAGCAUGACAACAUAAAAAAGUAGCUUUAGGCAUGAACAAGUUAUGUAUUAUCCUAGUCAUAUCUUUAUAGAAGUUGAAGAAUGUUACACACUUAUAGAAAAACUAUUUGCCCUUGUAUUUCACCUAUAUUAAGCUAUGCUGGUAUAUGUUACCAAUUGAUGUUUAUGUAAUAUGUAAAACAAAUUUGAUAAAAUAUAUGUUGUCAUAACCUUUUUUAAGAGGUCAUAUUGGUAAAUGGACAUUAGCACUAUCUAAAUUUAAUCUACAUUACAUUCCAUGAAAAGUAGCUAGAGGCUAAGAUUUGGUUGAUUUCCUAGUUGAUCAUAUGUAAAUAAACAUUGACCAUGAGAAAGAAUAAAACAACAAUACUAUCAUUAUAGAACCUAUUUCAUGGCAAUUAUGGUUAUGUGGGUUGAAAACAAAGAACAAUGUCGUGUAGGGUGGUGAUAAUAUCCUCAAUAGAUCAUAAAGUGACCCAUCUUUUUGGCUUAAUUUUUCUUGCACUGACAAUUAAGAUGCAUAUAAGUUCUUAAUCAUAGGUCUCUAAAUACAACUAGAGUUAAAAGAAAAAUUAGUUAUAGUAACAAGAUAUUCAUUACUUAUUAUCAACAAUUUAGUUAGUGAAUAUAAAUGUGAACAGAUUACCUUAACUUUAAAACCUUAACUUUAAAUCAUAUAGUGGCCACAAACCUUGUUUAAAGGUUUUCUAAUCUUGUUUUUAUUUUUUUAGUGAGAGAAAAUAAUAAAGAAACCAAUGGCUUGACUUAACACAUGUUGGAAUAUAGAGUGGCCUUAUAUCAUCAUGGGAUCAUCCCUAUAAGAACUAUUGAUUGAUCAACUAUUGUUGAUAUCCAACAUGGAUGUAAAAGGUCACAUAGUUAUUAUGAAUGAUGACAAGCCUCACACAUAUAAUUUCAAUAAAAAAUUAUUUAUUCAUCCCUCUAGAGGGUUUUUAUUGCUUUUCUUUACAAAUUUCUCUCAUUCUUCAUAAACAUGUCAUUUUCCUUGUGUGGUGUUGUUAUAGAGUUGAUAGCCUUUACUUAAGGUUCAAGGUUUUAGAUCCCCACACUCUGCUUGUUUUUGUGAGGUUGUUACUUGUCUUUUCUUAGGAUUAUGUUCCUAUUGUGUAGUAUUUUUUUUAAUCCUUAUAUGGAAAAACGUUAAUUGGUAGUCUAUUAUUCAAAAUAAUAUCAAAGUGAUUUACAUAUUGGUAUGCUCUAUAAGACAAAGAUUCAACUAUUUCAUAAGAUAAUAGCUAUGCCUCUAAAGUAAAACACAGGUAAAGUCGUCGCUGAUAUAUUAGAUGAAUAAUUAGUAUAAGCAAAGGAGAAAUGUUCACUUUUUUAUAAUGAAAAGCCUGACAAUCCAUAUUCUUCUCAUAUGUUGGUGGAUCAAUUAGUAUCACACAUGCUCAAAGAUGAGUCUUCAUUGUCUAAUUCACCCCUACAACAUAGAACUACAUCUAAACAUACUCUUAGUGUCCCCUAGCAGUCUCUCAUAUUUUUAUUGAUUCUAAUAGGGUCAUCACCACCAACAACAAAUAGACAUGUUAAUGUAUAAGUUCUUUACACACAACCAUAUACAUAUCAUAUAUACGGAUUUGAUGACAUCAUAUGAUGGUCAUAACUAGCUAUGGAAAACUCCAUCCAACCAGCCAUGAUUGCACUUUAAGUAACAUCUUAUUAUUAGUUUAUAAAUCUCUCUAGUGCUAAUUAAAGGGUUAUUUAGAUGGAGAUGAAAACAUAAAAGAUAUGACCUACCACAACAACAUCGUGGUGGUCAAUGGAACCAUGUAUAUUAUAUUUGAUUAGUUAGCUUAGAUAAAAAUGAGAUGCAUUAGAAUGGGUCUUGUAACCCAUGAGCAUAUACACUUAGAAGGCAUAUCUUUAGGAGUUCUAUGACCACAAACACUCUAAUAGGGGUGAUUGGAAUGAAUAUACCUUAUAUAAAAAGGUACCUUCUAGUGUAACAGACAUAACAAUAAAUAUAUUCCAACUUGAGUGUGAUAGCCACUAAUAACCACAAGUCUACAAAAAACCACAAGUCAAUUACUUGGCCUCAUAAAACUUAUAUUUCUUCCAACAAGCUUCUACUAGGUAACUCUAUGCCAUAUAGGAUGUGUUACAAUUAGAAAAUCACAAUCCCUUUACACAAUAACCACCUAUUAUUGAUAAAAAAAAAAGAGAGGAAGAGAUAGAUAAAGUAUAACUAACAUAACAUUUAAGAGAGAGAAUGGUAGAAAUUGGAUAAAUAAAAAGUUCUACUGACCAUCAUCCAUAACAUAACUGGAUUGAUAGGUUGCAUGCAAUCUCUAGAGGAAUAAAUAUUGUAAAUUUCAAGCAAUUAUCUAUGAAAUAUAAUAAAUCAAUAGGAGAACACAUCACCAAGUUCGCUAACCAAUACGACAAUGAUGCAUCAAACCUUCUUUAUACAUUUGAGUUUUUUUUUUCAUUAUUAACCAGAACAACUUUUCUUUGGUUAUCCACAUUUCCACUCAACUCAAUUAACAUUUAGGAAACGAUGGAAAUUUCUUUCCAUGAACAUUUAUAGGAUAGAUCUGGAGGUCAUGUUACAUGAUUUAGCCAAAAUAUUCUAGGAUCUAAGAAAGGGUACAUAAAUUAUGCCCUGUGAUUUAGGACAUGUAUUAUGGCUAUAACUAAGUGAGAGUUCAUAAAGUUACUAUUAAAAAAAACUAUAGUGGAACAUAAGGAAAAUAUUCAUAAACACCAAGUACUUAUAUAUCCAAACUCUCAUAAAUGAUGUUACUCAUUUUGAGAAAAUGGUAGCAAAAAUGGUAUAAAAAAAGCCAUUGAGGUGGACAUACCCUAUUAACUAUUUAGACAAUGUUAUGAGUGCACACCUAUUUAUUGAUUCAGACUCUUAUAGGAAUUUGAGGAUGUCCAAUAAUAGUUCAUAUUGAUUAUAGAAGUAAAAGAUGGUAGUUUGAGAUUAUAUCAUUAAGAAAGCCUAAAAAAACUACUAACCCUGAUAUCAAAGAUGCAAAGGCUACCAAAGUAGUCGAAAAAAUAAAAAAGUUUUCUUUUAACAUAAAAAAGCUAAAGAAAACUUUAACUAGUUGAUACAUAAAAGGGGGGGGGAUUUAAACUUCUUCGAAAUCACACUAUCCUUAUUGACAACAAAAUUCAAGAGAAGAAGUUCUUUAAGUGGCAUGACUUUUAAAAACAUGACAUUCAUAAUUGUGUAGUCUUUUAGAACCAAAUUCAGAAGACUCUAGAAUCUAUGUGCAUUUGUUUUUUGGACAUGAAAAUGAAAAUGGAUGAUAAUAUGUUCUCUAAAUUUACUAUAGUUAUAGCUACUCCCAAGCUUGAUAAACUUCCUAGAAAGAAAGAGUAGUAAAAGGUAAAGACUAAUCAACAAUGAUAAAAGGUGAAGUUAGUCAUGGAUGCUAGUAUUGGAAAAAAAAUUUAAACCAUAAAAAAUCCAACAAGGUUGGGUUCAACAAGCUCAUGAUAUGCCUUAUAAUGAAGUGUAUAAGUUUCAUACAUUUGGCAUGUUUCUUCCAAAAGGUGAAGACUUGGGGGGCAUAGUUGAGCAAGUAGUAACUCAACUAAAUACCAAAUCAUUUAAGUUUAAAAGACUAGCUAAAAAUGAUUGAAAUAAGCACUAGUCAUAGUAGAAAUCAUCCAAACUCGAUGAUGAAAUUGUUAACAAUCACCAACAUCUCUUAUAUUUAGAAAUGAGAUUGAAAAAUUGACAUUGUCCAAAUGUUAUAUUUUUAUUCCAUAAUGUUUAUUUUUAUCCACAUGAUGAGAACACAAAAUGUCAUAUUUUUAUUCCAUAAUGUUUAGUCUUUUAUACUUAUUUGGAGCCUUAAUUUACUCAUUAUUUUUAUAUUUCAAUUUAGGAUGAAAGUGGAGGUGUUAAGGGCAAAACAAAGCUAAUUGGGCAAUUAUGAACAAUUUCAACACAACUUUGUAAUCUAGGCAUAACUCUCAUCUGAACUCUGAUUGAAAUUAUUCAUACUUCUAUUGAACCCUAAGAAACAACUCUACAACUUUCAUGUUUUGAUUUUUUAGAGAUACUAACUGUUUUGAGGUUAAAAUGAGGUAUAAUAUUGUUGCACUUGUACUGCCAUCGUGCAAGAACAUCCUUUGUCAUGCAAAUCUAUUACGAAGUCAUUUAUUUUCAGAAACUUCCAAAUUUGGUGUGUGAAUUCUAGUUGAAGACAUUACUUUCCUUGUUAUAUUAGGACUUUAUUUUAUUAUUUAAUAAUUUCAUUAACUAUUUAGAUUUGAUGGUUAUCAUUGGGGAAUAAUAUUGAGAGUAUUUUUAGGAGAUUGUAUAUGCUUCUAAAGAGAGAAAAGGGUGUAAAAACAAAAGGGAGAGAUAAGAUCAGACUUCUCAUUUCCCUCUUCCUUCUUCUUUAUUUUGUUUUUCUUCUUCGAGUAUUCAUCAUGGUACUAUAUAACUAAAUUUUUAUUUGUUAAAAGGAAACGAAAGCCUCAGAAUCAAUAAAACUGUGAGAUCUAAUUUGUUUUCAUUGUUGAAUUUAUGCUUUGAGUAUUGAAUGUUUUUUUGUGCCUAUUUUUAUAAUUGUUCUAUUUAAUUGUCAAGAGGCCUAUUAGUUUAUUAUUUGUUGCAAUCUACGGCUAGGUUAGAUAUCAAAUCCAUAUUGUUUGAUUUCUCUAAUUUGUGAAGCAACUAAGGGUUAAAUGAUUUGUUGCAUUAAAAAUUAAUAAAUCUUAGAAAGAAUAGUCGAUUAAAUUAAAUUAAAUGCAACCAUAUAUGCUUGUAUUGUUUAGCUUCAUCAAUCUCUCUAAUUCUUAAGGCUACUACUAGAUUAAAUUUUUAGUGCUUCUCUUGAGUUGUUUAGUAGUUAAGAUUAAUUAGAUUGCUUGUUUUCUAAUUAUCUAUAACUAAGGAGAGAUAGGAAAAUAGUUUCAAUAGUGAAUAUUAAAAGUAUGAAUUGAUAUAUAUACAUUGAUGAUCAGUUAUAAAAGACCUAAUGGUGGAUGUUGACUUAGUCCAAAGUUUAUUCUUUUGAUUGAUUUUUAUAUUUUAAUUUAAGUUGUUUUCUUACAAUUGUUUUUGUUAUACUCAAAUCCCCCCCAUCUUUGCUCACGUAGCACAAAACUAGGCUAGAUAUUCUUUGUGGGAACAAUCCUUACUCGCACUGCUGUAUGUAUUUUUAAGAGUCUAGGUUUUGUAUUUGGUUGCCUGUGACAGCACACCAUCAUCUCUAUGCCUCAUUAAUGCCCUAAAAAUCAUAGAAAAUUACAUGCUUGCACACCAAAGGCACAUUUAAAAGGGUUAUUUUUAGGUUGUGCAUCAGCAUUCAUUCAAAGACAACAUUUAGUUCAUUUAUGUGAGUGGAUUUUGAUUUUGACUUAACCAUGAUAUCAUAAAUAUAAACCUCUAUAUUAUUAUUGAUCAUAUUCUAGAAGAUCAAGUUCAUUUCUUUUUGUCAUGUUCCACUAGAAGUUCUUUAACCAAAAUUACAUUAUCAUCUAAUGAAGUUUAGUAUUCUAGACAUUUGAAAACAAUCUUGGAAAUAUCCUCUUUUAUAAUGAAGAUAUAGUUAUAGCUAGAGUAGCCAUCCAUGAAGUUGAGUAUUUUUUUUGCAAGAUGUUAUAUCGAUCGAUAUAUUAACCAUUGACAUUGGAUAUUCAUCUUUUAAAGUUACAAGAUUCAAAUUUCUAAAAUCUAUGCAUACCCUCAAUUUGAUAUUCUUUUGUCAUGGUGGCACUGUACUAGAUAUCUAAUCAUCAUAUCUUUUUGGCCUAAUAAAUCUAUCUUUUAGGUGCUAUUUUAUUUUCUUCUUUACAUGAUAAAUCACAUUUAGAUUCGUUCAUCAUACAGGUUGUUUAUAUGGCUUAAACUCAGGUUUGAUUGGUAAAUAAUGUUUGACCAAACUUAUAUCUAAACUAGGCAUUUCAUCAUAAUAUGAAGCAAAACAAUCUUUUUAAGUGUGUAUCAAUGACCCCGAUUCCUUAUGAAGUUUUUUGGUAUACUUGCACUUAUAAAGAUUGGUCUAGGCUUGUCUUUAGUUCCCAAGUUAAUUUCAAUUAACAUCUCCUAAACUUCAGCCUAUCCAUCAUCCAUCUUUGAUGGUGAUAGAGGAAGACUUAUCAUAUCGAGCAAGAUCAAUUGAUAGUUUUAAUUUUAUUUUAUUGAACAAAUUCUAUUUUACCACCCAACAAUUAUAUGGACUUCAUCAAAAGCCUUAAAACAUGUAACUAAAUUGUAAUGACUUGUUUAAUCAUAUAUUUCAAAUUUUUAACCAUUCCCUUCUAAUUAUUUAUUUGGCCUAGCAAAAUAUGUUAUGAUUCAUCUUAUAUGUACUAUCUUUUUACUAAGAAGAAAAUACGGUGACCUAUAUUAUCCAUGUUCAUUGACUAGAUUGGACCUGCAUCGUCAUUAUAUACCCAUGGAUCUACCAUCCCUAAAUUAACCAUGAAUGGUUUAUCAUUUACAUUAACUACUUUAGUUGAUCCAUCUAGUAACAAAAAAAUUAAAUCUUGAUAUAAGAAUGAUGGAACAUACAUGCUAGUGUGUAUCUAAUCUUGCUUUAGCAAGGUGUUGUAACUUGUCUUUGAUUUUACCAUAAAAAAAAUCUAUGAUAGAGGUUUUGGACCUAAUAGUUAGAUCCAUCUAUAACACCCUCAUAAUGUCUCUUAUAUCUUAUAUAGAAUAUGUAUAAACCACUUCUGAUAAAAUCAUGUCAUCCUUGUUAUAACUAACAUUAGCAUUCAUAGUUAAGAUUAUAAUGUUAAGUAAGACACCAUUAUCAACUAGGACUCUCUAUACUAGUACAUUAUUGAAAUUUGUUGUGAUGUAAAGAGGCUUAAAUAAUGACUUAUGUAAAACUUAUAAUAUGUUGCCUACUGUGACCAUAACACAGGUUUAGCCUUUAUAUUUAUAGUAGGAGAUGAUUGUAUACAAACGGGUAAGAGAUAAACUAUAAAGGUUGAAAUACACUUGAAGUAAUCUUAGCCUGAUCCUUAUUGCCUUCUACAGUAGUGGAUGAGCUGAGUUUAACUGUAUUGUUGGUGGGUUUGACUAGGUCUCUAAUACGCCCCUUCAAGCGCAACGGUACCGAAAGAACGUUGAGCUUGGAACGUAGAACACCAAACCGUGAGGAAGAGAGUGGCUUGGUGAAAAUGUCGGCGAGUUGAUCUUUGCUAGAGAUGAACUUAAUGGAGAGAAGUUUCUUGGCUACCAUAUCACGUACAAAGUGGAAGUCAAUUUCCACAUGUUUAGUUCGCGCAUGAAAUACUGGGUUUGCAGAUAGGUAGGUGGCGCCGAUGUUUUCACACCAUAGAACUGGAGGUUGAGACAUGUGAAUGCCAAUUUCAAAGCAUAAUGACAUGAGCCAAGAUAAUUAUGUAGCAGUGUUUGCUAGUGAUUUGUAUUCGGCUUCAGUGCUUGAGCGGGCAACCGUUUGCUGUUUGCGACAACUCCAUGAUAUUAAGUUGCGGCCAAGGAAAAUGCAAUAACCCCCAGUGGAUCGUCGAUCAUCACGACUUCCUGCCCAAUCGGCAUCAGAGAAUGCCUGAAGAUUAGUGGAUGUGGAAGCAUAAAAUUGAAGCCCAUGUUGGAUGGUUUGCUUGAGAUAUCAAAGUAGACGUUUUACAGACUGCCAAUGAAGUUCUGUGGGUUUGUGCAUAAACUAUCAGAGUUUAUUUACACAAAAGGAGAUAUAUGGGCGUGUGAUGCAGACAUAUUGAAGGGCGCCAACAGCACUUCUGUACAGAGUCGGAUCCAAAAGGAGAUCACCUUCAAAACUAAAGAGAUGAGUAGAGGAAGCCAUUGGAGAGCUGAUCAGCUUUGCAUCUGCCAUUUUUGUGUGUUUGAGAAUGUCUAGAAUAUAUCGCUGCUAUGAGAGUAUAAUUCCCUGGUUGCAUGGCAUAACUUCGAUACCAAGGAAAUAAUUCAGUGGCCUAAGUCUUUGACUGCGAAGUCAUUGUGUAAUUCUUGGAGCAAUGACUGAAUAACAACAUGACUGAAGAAUGUAAUUAUGAUGUCAUCCACAUAAAUUAAAACCAACAUGAGAUAAUCAGUGGAGUGAGAAAUAAAUAAGGAAGUAUCUAACAGUGAGCUGAUGAAACCAAGUUGAAUCAACUUGGAGCUCAACCGUGAAAACCAAGCCCGUAGGGCUUGUUUUAAGCCAUACAAAGCUUUGUGCAGCUUGCAAACAUGAGAUUGGUGUUGGGGAUGAAUAAAGCCAGGCAACCUCAGUUAACGUUCCAUGUAGGAAUGCAUUUUGUAUAUCAAUCUGAUGUAUAGGCCAGCCACUGCAAAGAGCAAAAGAGAGAACUAGACAUACCGUAGUGGGUUUUACCACAGGACUGUAAGUUUCACCAUAGUCUAGCCCAGGUUGUUGGUGAAAUCAUUUGGCUACAAGUCGUGCUUUGUAGCGAUCAAUGGAGCCAUCUGUCUUUCGCUUUAACCGGAAUACCCAUUUACAGCCAACGACAUUUGAUGCUUCUGAAGGGGAGACUAAGGACCACGUUUGAUUUUACAGUAAUGCAUCAAAUUCAACAUUCAUUGCUUUUCUCUAAUAUGGGUUUUUCAUGGCAGUGGAGUAACAAGUGGGUUCCAUAGCUGACUGAGUAGACUCAGUAAGGAGGGCUCGGGGCAAGGGAUAACGGACAGUGCCAUCAGUAUGAAUUUUUGGUUUGGUGAUGAGGUUUUUUGCACGUGUGGUCAUGGGGUGAGUUGAUGAGAGGAGGGGCGUCUGUGAGAUGGUGUCUGGGAUAGGUGGAUGGGAAGGAUUAGGUAAGGGAGGCCUCCGUAUAAGGAAUCUGAAGUGGAUAAUGAUUAAUUGUGGGAUGGUGUUGUGCCAAAAGUGUGUUGGAUGAUAUUUUCUAUUGAUGAUGGAGUUUCCAAAGAAGAUGCUGCCGUGGGCUGAUAGUCAUGAGGAAUGAGUAAUGGACUUGGAUUGUUGAAUACAUGCACAAAUAUGUUAGGGGACAAAGAGGAUGGAGAAGCAAACGUGCAUGGAAACGAGUUUUCAUUAAAUACUACAUCCCAUGAAAUAUAAACUCUAUUAGAUGGUAAGUGAAGACACUUGUACCCUUUAUGAAGAGGACUAUACCCUAAAAAAAGACACAUUAGAGACCGUGGUUGGAGUUUAUUUUUAUUAUAGGGACGUAAGUUUGGCCAACAUGCACAACUAAAAGUGCGUAAGAAACAAUAAUCGGGUUCACAAUGAAAAAGAGUGUGAAAGGGUGAUUUAUUUUGGAGCACAGGGGUGGGCAUGCGAUUAAUAAGGUAGCAUAUCGUAGAGAAUGCAUCAUCCCAAAAUUGGAGAGGAACUUUUGCGUGAGAAAGUAAGGCUAGGCCAGUUUCGACAAUGUGUCGAUGUUUGCGCUCAAUUUUGCCAUUCUGUUGAUGUAUGUGUGGGCAAGAGACACAAUGGGAGAUACCGAAAGAUUGAAGGAGUGUGUGAAAGGGACGGUAUUCACCACCCCAAUCAAAUUGGACAGUACGAAUUUUUUCUUUGAAAAAGCAUUAAACAUAAAUUUUAAAUUUAUAAAAAAUUUUAGUGACAUCACCCUUACAAGAAAUGGGAUACAACCAAGUGUAUCGACUAAAAUCAUCUAAAAAGGAAACAUAAUAUUUAAAGCCAGAUUGAGAGCAAAUAGGGGCAGGGCCCCAAACAUCCGUAUAAAUGAGCUCUAAAGGACAAGUGGAGCGAGAGAGAAACUUAGAGAAUGGUAAUUGUUUGGACUUGGAGCUGAGGCAUGCGGAGCAUGGAUCAGUGACUUUAGAAUUGGAAACUGGAAGUUGAAAGGAAGAGAGAAUUUGUCUGACUAACUUGAGGGAAGGGUGGUCAAGCCGUGAGUGCCACUGAGGAAGAGAGACACGUUCACCAAUUAAAAUGAAAGGGGAUGAUUUAUUAUUGAAGAAUGGAAAUUGAUAGAGACGGGUCGUGAAGCAGCAACUUCUUCGAAUGUCGAUCCUUCAAAAGAAAAUAAUCCGGGUGAAAUUCAAAGAAAGUGUUAGUAUCAAAUGUGAAUUUAUGAACAGAUAAUAAAUUCUUGGAAAUUUUAGGAACAUGGAGAACAUUAAGGAGAUCAAAUUGAAGAGUUAGAGAAAAGAGACGAGUGUGUCCAAUAUGAUGAAUGGACAACCCUUUACCAUUGCCAAUUCGUAUCUGAUCAGAGCCAUGAAAUUCCUCAGCUUUGAGGUUGAGGUUUUUCAUGUCAGAGGUGACAUGAUGAGUGGCAGGACCAUGAGAUACCGAUUGAGGUCAGGACCAUGAGAAGGGGCUGAAAGGUAGGCCUGUGGGAGUUGAGGGGAGUCUCUGGAGAAGGACUCAUUGUAGCGGUUGUAACAAUCAAGAGCGAUGUCGCCCACACGGUUACAGACUUGGCAAACAGGGCGAGAAGAAGAGCCACGACCAGGAAAGGAGUGAGUGUUGCGCCCCCUACCACGUGACUGUCGGUUGAAAUAUGGACGUGAAGGCCCCCGUCCAGUAGGUGGGGCACCAAGGAUAGAAUUGUGGCUGCUACGAUAGGGGCGGAAAGAAUUUCCUCCACAUGCAGCAUAGUGAGCCCCAAUGACAGGAAGGUCAAUGGCUGAGUGAUGGUGCUCAAGUCUGAGUUCAUGGAAGAGGAGAUGGUCGUAGAUCUCUUCCACAGAUAGGGGUUCAACACGAGUUGUAACUGACGUUACAAAAGGAUCAUAAUCGGGUCUUAGCCCAGCAAGUAGGAAAGCCACCAUUUCAAAAUCAUUAAGGGGCUGACCCACGGUAGCCAGGGAGUUAGUGAGGGAUUGGAACCAUUGAAAAUAGUCAGCGACAGAGGAGCUUCCUUUUUUUAAGAUGGUCAGUUGAUAGUGAACCUGCAUGGUGCGUGCCCGAGAUUGGGACGUGAACAAUGUCUCCAAUGUUGUCCAGGCAGAUAUGGAGGUGGUGCAACGUAUAACAUGGGUGAGCAUCUUUUCGGUGAGAGUUGAAUUGAUUGCACCAAGAAUGAUUUGAUCUUGCUUGGUCCAAUGUAAGAAAACAGGAUUUGGAGAAGUGGUGGUAACACCAUCAAUGGUGGAAGAAACAGUGGACGGUGGUGGGGGAGUACUGUCAUCUACGUACCCGAAGAGAUUUCUGCCUCUAAGAUGAGGGACAAUUUGAGGGAGCCAUAAAGGAUAGUUGUCCCGAGUGAGUUUAACAGGAUUGAAGUUGGUGAAGGUGAUCAGAGGAGAUGUUUGAGUGGAGGAGAGGGUUGUUACAACAGACAUGGUGAGGGAGGAAGAAAGAAUUUAUUUUUUUUUUGACGUAAGUCAGGUGUGCUCUGAUACCAUGUAAAACUUAUAAUAUGUUGGCUACUGUGACCAAAACACAAGUUUAGCCCUUAUAUUUAUAGUAGGAGAUGAUUGUAUACAAACGGGUAAGAGAUAAACUAUAAAGGUUGAGAUACACUUGAAGUAAUCUUAGCCUAAUCCUUAUUGCCUUCUGCAGUAGUGGAUGAGCUGAGUUUAACUGUAUUGUUUGUGGGUUUGACUAGGUCUCUAAUAACUUAUAACUAUUAUUGCCUCAAGAAAUUUAAGUCUUGGUUAUUGUUCAACCACUAGCUCUAACUAGUUGAAUUCAAUAAUCUGUAUCUUUUGUUUUGUGUUGUAUUCACAAUCACUAUCUAAAUUAGACAAUUAGGCAGGUUUGGCUUCAAGGAACAUGGUAGGAUGAACAUUAUAUUUAUGAAUGUAAAUCAUUUAUGAUCACUCACUUCUACUUCAAAAUGUGUUUCUAUUGCCUUAUCUUUUAGAGCAUUCUACUAGUCUAGCUAUUAUAUUAACCAUGAUACAUAAACCAUAGAUUAUAGAUUUAAUAUACUUCCUUCAAUCAUAUAUAAUCUUUUAAGUACUGUUUAACACAAAUGAUAUUAACUACGUGCUUAUAUAUAUAUCAUCAUUAUAAUUAGAAAAUAUUUACACAACACAGGUACAAGUUAAAUAAGCUAGUCCAUUUAAGUUCGUAUAUACACAACAUUAUAAUCUUCAAAAUAUACAGAAAGUAAUGUUAUUAUCAACAAUUUACAUAUCCAAAAGAUUUACUGGUAAUAGAAGUAGACUCUAAAACUACUAGGAGGUGCGGUAUUGAGAUGAACCUGCAUAAUGAUUUAAAAGAUAAGCAUGGUCAAUUAGAGCAUUUACAUUUGCAUUAAUAUAUAUAUAUAUACACACACACAUUAGUUACUCACAAAAAUUUCCACAUUUACUACCAUCUUCCAAGUACUAUUCACAAAUCAAUAAUCUAAAAACUAAACAUGUCCACAUCAUAGAACUUCAGUUCCAAAACCAGUACAGCUGGACCACCAGCACUAGUUCCAUACCAGCUUCAGUUCCAUACCAGGAUAACUGGUCCACCAGCUGCCCAUUCACAGGGCGCUAGUUCCAUAUCAGAAGAGCUAGUCCACUAGCUGUCCAUUCACAGGGCACCAGUUUCAUACCAGGAUAACUGGCUCACAAGUCUUUCAUUUUCAGAAUAAAUUAUCAUGGGAAAAUCUAUCAGCAUUCCACAUAAAAUUUCAUUGAUCGAGGGAAAUUUAAAUAUCUAAAGUUCAGAGAAAAAUAUUCAAUGUAUUAAACUUGUACUUGGUAUUUGCGUCCUGCUAGCUGAACCUGUCUGAUGAGUGGUUCUUGUAGCCUCGCCCACUCCUGCAGGUUCAUUUCAUUAUCAAUUAAAUUCUAUUUCAACAAAAUCAACUUGUCAUCAAUUUAAUUAUUUCAUCAACAAUAUCACCACAAAACCACUUUACUUAUCAAACCAGUAAAACAACUCAUUGUUAAUUUAAUUACUUCAUCAACACAUUACCACAUAAUUCAUUUAAUUUUCAAACAACAAUAUCAACUCAUCACUAACAUAAUUUCUUCAUCAUCAAUAUUACCACAUAACUCAUUUAAUUAUCAAUCAACAAUAUUAACACACCACUAAUAAAAUUUCUUCAUCAUCAACAUUACCACACAACUCAUUUAACUAUCAAACAACAAUAUCAACUCAUCACUAAUAUAAUUCUUUCAUCAUCAAUAUUACCACAUAACUCAUUUAACUAUCAAACAACAAUAUCAACUCAUCACUAAUAUAAUUUCUUCAUCAUCAAUAUUACCACAUAACUCAUUUAAUUAUCACUCAACAAUAUUAACUCAUUACUAAUAUAAUUCCUUCAUCAUCAAUAUUAAUUAUUGAUUCAACAUUUUCAUUCAUUUUUCUUUCUCUAGGCCGAAGCCUCUUCUCAAAAGAACCCAUAAUUAAUUUUUCUUCAAUUCCAUAUAUUGAAACAUUGCCCACUAUUAUUUCAUUUAUUUAAACAUUAAUUCAUCAUAAUUUCAUAGAUUAACUUAUUUAACCUCACAACUCAUACCAUAAUUAUACACUAAUACAAUUGAAUAAAAUCUUAACAUACUAAAUAUAUCAAUUUAAUUGAGAGGAAAGGAUUUGUUACCUUUUAAUUCAAAGAAAUAAGAGAUGGAAAGCUUGAAAUCACCCCACAAAUUUCUUUCCUCCUUCCCCCCUUAUUUUCCUCUCAAUGCCUCCCCUCUUUAUAAAAAAAAUCCCUUGUUCCCCUUUUUGAGAUUUUCUUGUUCAAAACCUUCUUAAUUUUGGAAUUAAUUGAGUCAAACUUUAAUCACUAGUUCUAUCUUUUUCCUUUUUUUUUAAUUAAUUUUGGAUGAACUUUGAUAAAUUUCACUCAAUUCUUCUCCCUCUCAAGCCCUAACAUGGCCGGCCAUCAUGGCUCAUUUUACACUCCCCACUUGUUUAUAUAUAUAUACAAGUUUCCCCCCUUCUUCAUUUAAGGACUUCCUUGUUUAGUUUUAAAACCAUUUGGCCCAAGAGUUUGACUUAUUCAAUUUCAUCCUUGUCCAACAUUAACCUCCUUAGAUAAUAAUUUCUACUCCAUUAAUUUCCAUUAUUUCUAUUAUUAUUAUUUAUUUAUUUAAUUAUUCAUCUCCCUUAUUUAAAAAAAAAAAAGGUAAAUCGAAGUAUAGGAAUUUUGCCCGAGAGUUACAUGUAUGGUUAUGUAUCAUCUCCCUAUACCAAGGUAUUUAGGCGUUGUAUUCCCUUAAACUAUAGCAAGAAUAAUUUUAUAAUGAGGUUCAUUAAAACACUAUAGGAAUAAUUUUACUAAGUUGUUGAAAACAAAUAAGAUUUAAUGAGUAUCAAUAGACUAAAAAGCAAUAAUGUUCUUUUAAAGACAUAUAAAUGUAUUUAGUUAAACCUUUAGUAUUGACCUAAUCAAGGCUUGGAAAGCCAUUAAAGCUAUAUGUUUUAGGAGUACAAGGACCAAUUUAUAGCAUUCUGGAAUAAGAAAAUGACUUUGGGAAUGAAUAGAUUGUGUAUUACCUUAAACGCGUGCUUAUAGAGGUUGAAGAAAGAUAUGCAUUGAUAGAGAAAUUAUGUUUGUUUUUGUUUUUCACUUUAGUUAAGAUACGUUAGUAUAUGUGAUCAAUUAACUUUGAUGUAAUAUGUAAAAUAAGUUUAAUUAAAUAUAUGUUAUUGAAAUCCUUUUUAAAAGGUUGUAAUGGAAAAUUUUGUAUGCCAUAUAAAAAACUUUAGGUGAUUUCUUAGCUGAUCACCCAUACAUUGCACACUGACCAUGAAUUGAAACAAGAUAUCAAUAUUAUCAUGGCAGAGCCUAUUCUAUAGUAAGUAUGGUUUGAUAGAUAAAAAAAAAAAACUAAGAACAAAGCUAGUGCAACGAUGGUCAUAUAUCCCCUGUAGGUCAUAAAGCGACCUUGUCCUUUUAUCUUGAUUUUCCUUGCACAAAUAAUCAAGUUAAAUAUAAGGUCUUAAUAAUAGGCCUAAAAACAUUAUUGGAGUUAAGAGUACAAUCAAUUAUAAUAAUUGGGAAUUCAUUAUUUAUUAUCAAUUAGUUAUCUGGAGAAUAUAAGCGUGAAUAUCUCAUCCUAAUUCUAUACCAUACUAUGGCCACAAACAUUAGAAGGUUUUUUUUAUCUUAAUUUCUUUAAUAAUCAUGACAUUAUCCCUAUGAAGAUUAUCAAUCGAUCAAUCAAAGUUGUUGUCCAAAUAGAUUGUCAUGAUGAAUAAAGCAAUCUAGAUUCCAUGAAAAAAAAAUAUUUAAAGCAAUAACAAUGAGAUUGUUGUUUAUACUUUCUGCCAAUUACAAGUAGAAGGUCUUAACAAUUCUAAUGCUUUUGAUUCUUAGAAGCAUUGGAGAGAGAGAAAUAAAACAUUUGACAAUACCCCUCGUAAAAAGUUUCAAGGUCUUUCAAAAUAAAGAUGGUCAAUUAUUUACUCCUAACAAAUAUAUAUUAUACAUAAUAUAUAAGACUAAUAUUUUACUCAAAUGCUUAGGACUAUUGAAAAUCUUGUUGGUCAUGUUUGAGGUUCAUGAGAGGAUAUAUAGAGCCUACCAAUCUAGAAUUAAGAUAAGAUAGUUAAUCAUGAACCAUGGCUUUCAUUGGCAUGGUAUAACUAAAGAUAUCAUUAGUUUUAUAAAAAGGUGUUAAUAAUAUCAUCAAUUAGGCCCAAUCCAGUAUGUACCAUCGAAUAAGCUUAAUGCAAUGGUCAAAACAUGGCUAUUUAGAACAUGUGUAACGGAAAAUAUUGGAAAAAUACAACCACCUUCAUCAAGGGGACAUAAUUAUAUUCUUGCAAUUAUGGAUUAUUUCACUAAAUGGGUUGAAGCUAUUCUUUAUCGAUCGAUCAAUUAAGAAACAAUGAUCAAAUUCAUUUGGGAAAUAAUUAUUCACAAGUUUAAACUCCUAUAAACUAUUAUUACUUACCAAGGAUAAAUAUUUACUAGGAAAGAUGAUAAGAAAAUCACACAUAAGUAUAGAUUCAAGAGUCCAUUCUACUCAAGAUUAUAUCUAAGCCAAUAAGUAAGCAAAAUCGACCAACAAAACUCUUACUCACAAUACUCCAAAAUUGUUUAGAAAUAAUCCUGAAGCUUGUCAUGAUGCCUUAUCAAUAGUAUUAUGGGCAUAUAGGACUUCAUAGAAGACUCUUUUAGGAACCUCAUAAUUUACCCUAGCAUAUGGCCAUCAUUCCAUAUUACCUAUAAAGCUCAAAUUACAAUCACUUAGAAAGGGUACAUAAUGUAACAUAAACAAUUCAAAAAAUAAACUAGCUAUGGUAGUUGAGUUAGAGGAACUGGAUAAGGUAAAACGCCAUGAAUUGGAUCACUUAUUAGCAUAUAAAAGGAGAGUCAAAAGACAUAUAAUAAACAUGUUUGAUCAAAGAAUUUCUCAAUAGUGAUUCCGUAUGGAAGGCCAUACUUCUAAUUAACCAUAAAAAUCCAAAAUAUAAAAAAUAAUCCCCUAACUAGAAGCAUUCAUAUGUUAAUGCUAAAUUUCUAAAAAAGAUGUGCAUAUCAUCUAGCAAAUCAUGAUGGAAGGCCAUAAAUAUCCAAAAAUACAAAAAAUAAUCCCCUAACUAGAACCAUUCAUAUGUUAAUGUUAAAGUUCUAAAAAAGAUGUGCAUAUCAUCUAGAAAUCAUGAUGGAAAGAUGUAUUAUCGAUUGAUCAAUGGUCUAUAUUUGAAGAAGUAUUAUCCCCUAACAUAGACAAUUCAUUGAGAAGGAUUUUAUUUGUCAUUACAGCUUGCCAAAAAAAUUGAUAACUGAUAACGUUUAAAUUUUAAUAGGAACAUUCUAAUUCUUCUCCUUAUAGACCCAAGAUGAAUGGUGUUGUCAAGACAGCUAAUAAGAAUCUUAAUAAGAUCAUCCAGAAAAAUGGUAGUCACCUACAAAGAUUGGCAUGAGAUGCUUUCAUAAGUAUUCCAUUCAUACCGCACUACAGUUAGAACUUCUACGGGUACAACCCCUUAUUCUUGGUAUAUAGAAUGGAGGCGAUGAUACCUUUACAAGUAGAGAUUCCAUUAGUAAAGAUUCUAAAGGAUACAUAACUGGAAUAAUCAAAAUGGACGAAGUUAAAGUUUGAGUAACUCAUUAUAAUCAAUGAGAAAAGAUUGGCAGCAAUUUGUCACCACCAACUAUACUAGAGCAAAAUAGCUAAGGCAUAAAACAAGAGUGUCAGACAAAGGGUAUUAAAAAAAAAACACCUUAUAUUGAAGAAGAUCUUGUCAAUCCUAAUAGAAGAUCAGAGCAAAUAGGUGUCAAACUAUAAAGUACCAUAUGUGGUGAAGAAAGCCUUUCUUGGAGGAGCCUUGAUUUUGAUCAAAAUUGACAUGAAUGAUUUACCUAAGUCUAUAAAUCAAUAAAUCAAUAAGGAUCAAAAGUUUGGCCAUAAAUUCUUUUAAGUAUUUUCCUCUUAAUAAACUCUAAAAAGUUCUGAAUAGCCUUUUACAUGAUCUCAUAAGCUAAAAAACAUGUUUUUGUAAAAGAUAAAACAAAAUUCAAUCAAAAGUUUUUGGGAAAUCAAAGUUUUUAGUACAAAUUCAGAGGCCAAAUUGGUGUUUGUUUUUAACAAAUGAGUUUUGGGAAUUAAGUGAUCUCCUAUUUGAGGUGAACAAACACUUAGAAACCUGAAAAAUAAACAAAAACUCAUUCAUAGUAACUUUGAAGCUAAGUUUUAGUUGGCUGAAUAAUGAUGCAUAAUUUAAUUUGAUGGAAACUAUUUUGUAUGUCCAACUAAUCAAAAUGGAUGAGAGAAAAGCUUACUAAUCAUAAACGCAUGUGUUUGAGAUGAUGACAAGUCAUCUUUGAUAAUCCUUUCACAAUACUUGAAAAAUAUCCUUUGCAAGUCCUUGUUGGGCCUAGUAAAAAAAAAUUCUUGCAAAAGAAUCCUGACUUGGAUCACACUACAUACUAGAAGUAAGUACAAAACUUAUCAAAGUAAUUUGGCCUUGGAGUUAUACAAAAUGAUCCUCAAUUAUCAAUGGAAAGAUCAAAAGUGCCCAAAUAGAAAUUUGAAGGCACAAAGAGAUUCAAAUAUUCAAAUAGGCUGGGCAUGCCAUGCACAGAAAAAUGAUGAGGAUUGUGAUGAUGCUCCAAAUCAAAAGAAGAAAACAAAUCCAAAUAAUCCAAGAUCAUUUUACAAGAUAAAUCCUAAGGUCUGGGAGGCCAUCAACAAAAUAAAGAAAAAAAAUAAAGGCAUGUGAAUGAGCGAUAAUGAUCCUUAGUCCUAAGAGUCUUUAAACACCUUUUGAUCCUAUAAAUAUCUUUUUAUUUCAUAACCAAAAGGCAAAGCCUACAUUACAUGACUACUAAAGUCCUUUCUAAUCAAAAGCAAGCAACUUGGGUUGGUAGACAAUGCUCUCCCAUACUUUAAUAUUCAUACAAGUAAAAUGAAUACUUCAAAGAUUUUUUUUCUCUAAAACUCUCAAGUUGAUACAUUCAACCUUUAUGAAACCAUGUCCAUGGGAAUUGUUUGAGUUCUUUUCGAAACAAAUUUGCUUUAAACUUCAUCGAAAUGGUUUUUGCAUUUGGAAACAGCUUUAAAAUUCCAAAGGUUUUCUAUGAUAUCGAUCUUUUGUAAGAACCAAACAUCUUUUGCAUAACAUCAUCAUUGAAAAAACCUAAGCAAAAAAACAAGAUAAAGUACUUGGGUGCAUGAUCAAGCUAGUGGCAAUUCAAGAAACCCAACAGGACUUGCUACACAACUCUUUUUCUAAUAAAAUAAAAAAUAUAAAGCAAGUUGUUUAAAUCUUCCAAUGUCUUUUAAGAACUCAAGAUAUAGCUAAGAAAGCUAUUGUAGAGCAAGUAUAGUGAAUACUGAGUGAAGGUUAUGACACCCUAGCAAUGGUACACAUAUGAUUAUGGUGAUAAGUAGGAGAGCCUUGAAAGUUAACAAUUGAUGAGACAAAGGUGCCCAGAUAAUGGGAUAAACAAAGAUCAUUGAAGCUCAUAAAAUAAGCAUCCCUUUCCUAGAGAUCAAAUCUACUAGUUGUAGUUUGAGUAGACCAAAACAGAGAAGUCGUGAAAACAUGUCGCAGAGAUUAAAGUUUUGAGAGACAGAGUCCAUGAAGAAAGGGGACCUUUGUUUCUCAAGUAAAAAUUCAUGUAUAUUAACCCUAAAGCAUCACAUUUUGAUCUUUGUAGGAAGUCCAACAAAAUAAUACUUGAUGGAUUCAAAAAACAAUUCCAGCAAAGAAAAUCCAUCAAAGGUUCAAUUUAUAUUGAUAUAAGAGCAAAGGAUGUCAAAUUUUCAAAAUAUUAGAUCAUGAGAUUAUGUGAAUGCAACUUUGAAGCAUACCUUUUAAGUGCGCUUUUAAGCCACUUGCUUGUAGAUUACAUCUUAUAUUUUAUCACUUUUCAAGUGUGUUUUUCAGCCACUCAUUUUUAAACAAUAUCACCUUUUCAGUGCGCUUUUAAACCAGUUAUUUUUAGAUAACAUCUUUAAAACUAUCACCUUUUAAGUGUGCUUUUAAGCCCUCGCCUUCCAAAUAGCACGCCUUUGAGCCCUAUCUUUUUUACAUUGUAUUUUUUGGCACUAUUUUCUUCUAAGUGGGCCUUUGUGCCCUCGCCUUCAAGAUAGCGUGCCUUUGAGCCCUGUCUUUUUUACAUAGUGCUUUUCUCACUAUUUUCUUCUAAAUGUGCCUUUAAGCCCUUGUAUUUCAAAUAGUGUAUUUUUAGCCCAUAUCUAAUUUGAAUAGUGCUUUUGACACUAUCAGUUUAUGAGUGCGCCUUUAUGCCCUUGAUUUUCAGAUAGUGCGUUUUUUAGCCCCUCUCUCCUUUGAAUAGUACUUUUGACACUAUUAGUUUUUGAGUACGUCUUUGACCCCUUACAUUUUGGAUAGUGUACUUUUUAGCCCCUAUCUUUUUUUAAUAGUGCUUUUGGCACUAUCACCUUUUGUAUGCGCUUUUUAAACCCUUAUUUCUAAAAUUUUUUAUUAAAUCUAUCAUUCUUGGAUAUACCUUUGAAUAUCAUAUCACUUUGAGAAGGAUUAACCACUUUUUUGUUUUGGUAAAUCGACAUAUCCCCAUUGAAGUUUUUUAUCUUAACAUCUUUUUAUCUUUUUCUUCCUUACAAGGUUACUAUCUAAAGUAUCUUACGAGACAUUCUAUCGUAAACAUUGUAAAAACGGGUCAAUUGCCAUAACUCAACUUUGGGUUCCCUUUUCUUUUAAAUAAAAAUAAAAGAGAAAGAGAAAGAGAAAGGUUGAAAAUUUUUUUAAAAAAAAAACAAGAAGACAAGCAACUUGGUUGGCAAGAACAAUUAAAGAAUGAUCUACAAGCAUGAAUGAGAGAUGGAAGGACCAAUUUGGAUUUUUGAAUUUUUUUAUAAACUCAAUUGCACCAUUGAAGGACCUAAAUGUGAAAGGCAAUGCAAAUUUAAGGUUAACUUAAAAAUUUGAUGAAUUUGCUUAAAAAUUAAGUUUGGGGACUUAAUUAGAUUUUUAAUAGGCUAAUUUGAUUUAAUCAUAGGUCUAAUUAAAUGUUUAAUUAAGUUUGUAAAUUAACUUAGGCCAAAAUUAAAAUAGUUCAUUGGUGAAAAUUAAGUUUAGAAGCUUAGUUUAGGCUUAAUUGAUAUGAUUGGAACUUUGGAUAAUAAGAUUUAAUUUUUACAAGUUUAAUUGGAUAAAAUCAUGGGUGAAAUUGAAAGAAAAUUAAAGUUCAAAUGUCAAUUAAGGGCCAAAUUGAAGAAUCUCAAAAACAAGAACCACAUUGCAAAAAGGCAUGUAAGUCCGGGGACUAAAAUCAAUCUUAGGGGUCAAUUUGAAAGAAAUUGAAAGUUUGAUUGUUUAUAGGGGUAAUAUUGAACAAAUUAAAAACCAUAGACCAAUUGAAAAAGGAGUUCAAAUUAGAGGAGUCAAAUCAAGGUUUUCAAGGGAGUAAAAUCAAAGUUUUCAAGGGUGUGCUUGCAAAAAUUAAGAAGUUUCAAGUUCAAUUGAGGAUGUAUAUGCCAAAAUUAAAAAAACAGGGACCAAAUUAAAGUUUGCAAAAUCCCAACUAGAAAACCCUAAUUUCUAGGCUUUAAUGAAGAGAAUGAGUGACAUGUCGUCUAGUCUUUGUUUGUCAUUUUUUUCAGCUGAGAAGGUUAAAUAGGUUACCACUUUUAGGCGAAUGAACGUGACAUUUCCAGCCACCUCAAAGGCUCAAACCACCACUAAUGGACUGAGAAACACCUCCUUUACAAGGAUAAGCUAUCCUUAUCACAUGUUUAUACAUCUUUUGGCUCAAUGAACUCAACAACAUCUUGUCCUUGAUUAGCUUCCCUUGUAUUUGAUUGUUUCAAUCUGGUUGAGAACUCACUUUCCAAUAAUUUAAUAUGGAGUUUUGGACCUCCAAAUCAAAUGAGAUUUUAUUCUCAUUGUAGAUAUACAUUUCAUCUACAAGGAUCAGCUACUUGUAUCUUAAAUUUACAUCUAGUUUGUCACGAUGAUUUCUUUAAAAUAACUCACUCGGUUAGCCAUGAUUGAAGAAGAAAACCAUCAUGAUUUUUUUAAACCUCAUGGCUACUUUCUCUUGACAAGUUUGAGCUUACAGAAAGACAAAAAGAACCAGAAUGUAGCUUUCUAGGGGAGGUUAGAGGAGAAAAUGAGUAAGAAUCUUAUCUAACAAACUCUUAGCAAAACCACCAUGGUUUUGCCAUUUCUUGUUUUAUUUAGCUUAUAAAAGGUUGUUCUUGAGCACACCAAAAAGGAUUUGAGAAAAAUUAUAGAGAAAAUCAUAGAGGAAUAAAGAAAAAAGAUACAUAGAAAUAAUAGAAUACGUAGAAUAGAAAGGAAAGAAAGGUGAUAAAGAUUGUGGUUUAAAAAGGAAGGAGGGGAAUCUAGAUCAAUCUGAGAUUAAAAAGAAGCUAAAAAUCAAGAAAAAAAGAAGCAAAGAAUUCAUAGAAAGAAUCAACUUUAUCAUUGCUGGGCAAACCUUCAAACUUUAAUGAAGGGGUGAAGCUCAAUGAGCACACACACCCUCUUUUUUUAUUUUUGUCUUUGAAUUACUAUUUAUAAUAUUUAUUAUACAUUCUUUGAAGUCAUUUAUUACUUUGAAGGCCAUGAUUAUUGUUUUGAAAUGUUUCAACAUGCUUUGAAUAUAGCUUGUAUAUGCUCGGGUUUUUUUAUUGCCUUGUUUUGAUGUGUUAGAAUAUGAAUAUGGAAUGAUAAAUGUUAUUAUAGAAUUUUGUUAUUGCAUGCUUUGAUGUUAGGCUAAUCUUGCUUGAAGUUAUGACAAUAUAUUUUACGUUUUGAUAUUGUUGUGGUUUAGUUUCUUUUAGGUUAGUAUAUUGGUUUUGCUGAACUUAUAGAUAUGUUUUUUAAGAUUUAAGACAAUGUUUAUGACUAAUGGAAUAGUGUUUAUGCAUAGAGAGUAGCUUUUUCUGCUUGUUGUCAUUAUGGUUCUUGCUUGUUGUUUUUGCCUUUAAUCCUUUGUUUCUUGUUGUUUUGAUGAUUCCAGUAAUUCGUGGCAAGCAUGAUUAAGCUUAGGUUGCUAGGUUUUGGUUGCUUUUCUGAGUUUUAUUGCAUUUUUCUAGGUUUAGACCUUUUGUUAGGUUUAUGGGUUUUCUGACUUUUCUGGAUUGACAUUCAUCCAUUGAACUUUGCCUUAGGUCAUUGCUUUCUGAGUCAUUUUGGUCGAUUGAUGGUUCUUAUGUGUACGUGUAUGUCUGUUAAUCUUUAAUCUAAGUUUUUUAUGGCUUAAGAACAUUGAUUUAAGGGUUUUGAUCUUUAUUUCUUUUGUUUUAUUUUUUACAUAAAAUCAAAUAAUCAUGAUAUUUGCUUGAUUAUCAUGAUGAUUUAGCCUCAUAUUCUUGUUUGAAUAGUGUGUUAACAUGUCUCGAUGCCUUCAUUUUGAUUUCAUCUAGUAUAUUUUUGGAUCUUUGUUUCUGGGUUUCUUCGCAAGUUCUUAGCGUUCUUGAGCAAAUUCAAACAUUUUUCCCCUUUGAUCUUCAUUUUCUUCUUUAUUGGUUUUAGGUUGUGUUUAUGAGUUUGGGUCUUUGGGUUAAGAAGCCUAGUCUACACGGUAAGGCUGAGCUCAUUUUUCAAUAAAGCAGUGUUUGACAUGAUCAAUUUAUAUUAAAGAAAAAAUGCAAUAUUUUUUCCUUAAGGCGUGUUUAUCAAACACGGCCUCAAGAUAUUUUUUAAGCCUAUGACUUUUAGUUAAUGGCAUGUUUGGCAAACAUGCCCUACUGAUUUUCUAGUAAUGUUUAUAUUCGUAUUUUUUGUGCUUUUUCCAAACAAACCCUCAAAUCCUUUCCAAAAAUUCUAAAAACACUCAGGGACCAUUUUAAAAUUAUUUGUUGGCCCCUCGCAUAUAUGUCCAAACAUUUCACUUAAUAUCGGG